AUAUUGCACAAUGGGCGCAAGCCUGAUGCAGCAACGCCGCGUGGGUGAAGAAGGCUCUUGGGUCGUAAAGCUCUUUUACCCGGGAAGAUAAUGACUGUACCGGGAGAAUAAGCUCCGGCUAACUCCGUGCCAGCAGCCGCGGUAAUACGGAGGGAGCUAGCGUUGUUCGGAUAUACUGGGCGUAAAGCGCACGUAGGCGGCGCUGCAAGUCAGGGGUGAAAUCCCGGAGCUCAACUCCGGAACUGCCUUUGAAACUGCAGUGCUAGAAUCCUGGAGAGGCGAGUGGAAUUCCGAGUGUAGAGGUGAAAUUCGUAGAUAUUCGGAAGAACACCAGUGGCGAAGGCGACUCGCUGGACAGGUAUUGACGCUGAGGUGCGAAAGCGUGGGGAGCAA
rnacentral:rRNA from 1 species